rnacentral:rRNA from 1 species
AUUGAACGCUGGCGGCAUGCCUUACACAUGCAAGUCGAACGGCAGCGGGCCUUCGGGUGCCGGCGAGUGGCGAACGGGUGAGUAAUGCAUCGGAACGUGCCAUUGAGUGGGGGAUAACGUAGCGAAAGUUGCGCUAAUACCGCAUAUUCUGUGAGCAGGAAAGCAGGGGACCGCAAGGCCUUGCGCUCUUUGAGCGGCCGAUGUCAGAUUAGCUAGUUGGUGAGGUAAAGGCUUACCAAGGCGACGAUCUGUAGCGGGUCUGAGAGGAUGAUCCGCCACACUGGAACUGAGACACGGUCCAGACUCCUACGGGAGGCAGCAGUGGGGAAUUUUGGACAAUGGGGCAACCCUGAUCCAGCCAUGCCGCGUGAGUGAAGAAGGCC